GUCCACGCCCUAAACUAUGGAUACUCGACAUCAGCGAUACACUGUUGGUGUCUGAGCGAAAGCAUUAAGUAUCCCACCUGGGAAGUACGAUCGCAAGAUUGAAACUCAAAGGAAUUGGCGGGGUCCGCACAAGCGGUGGAGCAUGUGGUUUAAUUUCGAUGAUACGCGAGGAACCUUACCUGGGCUAGAAUGCUGGGAGACCGUGGGUGAAAGACUCACUUUGUAGCAAUACACUGCCAGUAAGGUGCUGCAUGGCUGUCGU
rnacentral:rRNA from 1 species